AUUGAACGCUGGCGGCAUGCCUUACACAUGCAAGUCGAACGGUAACGGGCCUUCGGGUGCCGACGAGUGGCGGACGGGUGAGUAAUACAUCGGAACGUGCCCGAUCGUGGGGGAUAACGAGGCGAAAGCUUUGCUAAUACCGCAUACGAUCUACGGAUGAAAGCAGGGGACCGCAAGGCCUUGCGCGGACGGAGCGGCCGAUGGCAGAUUAGGUAGUUGGUGGGAUAAAAGCUUACCAAGCCGACGAUCUGUAGCUGGUCUGAGAGGAUGAUCAGCCACACUGGGACUGAGACACGGCCCAGACUCCUACGGGAGGCAGCAGUGGGGAAUGUUGGACAAUGGGCGCAAGCCUGAUCCAGCCAUGCCGCGUGCAGGAUGAAGGUCUUCGGGCUGUAAACUGCUUUUGUACGGAACGAAAAGCCUUCUUUUAAUACAGGAGGGUCAUGACGGUACCGUAAGAAUAAGCACCGGCUAACUACGUG
rnacentral:rRNA from 1 species